CUACGGGGCGCUGCAGUGGGGAAUAUUGCACAAUGGAGGAAACUCUGAUGCAGCAACGCCGCGUGGAGGAUGACGCAUUUCGGUGUGUAAACUCCUUUUAUAGGGGAAGAUAAUGACGGUACCCUAUGAAUAAGCACCGGCUAACUCCGUGCCAGCAGCCGCGGUAAUACGGAGGGUGCAAGCGUUACUCGGAAUCACUGGGCGUAAAGGAUGCGUAGGCUGGAGAUCAAGUCGAGAGUGAAAUCCAACGGCUCAACCGUUGAACUGCUCUCGAAACUGGUCACCUAGAAUAUGGGAGAGGUAGAUGGAAUUAGUGGUGUAGGGGUAAAAUCCGUAGAUAUCACUAGGAAUACCGAUUGCGAAGGCGAUCUACUGGAACAUUAUUGACGCUGAGGCAUGAAAGCGUGGGGAGCAAACAGGAUUAGAUACCCGCGUAGUC
rnacentral:rRNA from 1 species